rnacentral:rRNA from 1 species
AGUGAACGCUGGCGGUAGGCCUAACACAUGCAAGUCGAACGGCAGCACAAUAAGAGCUUGCUCUUACGGGUAGCGAGUGGCGGACGGGUGAGGAAUACAUCGGAAUCUACUUUUUCGUGGGGGAUAACGUAGGGAAACUUACGCUAAUACCGCAUACGACCUACGGGUGAAAGCAGGGGAUCUUCGGACCUUGCGCGAUUGAAUGAGCCGAUGUCGGAUUAGCUAGUUGGCGGGGUAAAGGCCCACCAAGGCGACGAUCCGUAGCUGGUCUGAGAGGAUGAUCAGCCACACUGGAACUGAGACACGGUCCAGACUCCUACGGGAGGCAGCAGUGGGGAAUAUUGGACAAUGGGCGCAAGCCUGAUCCAGCCAUACCGCGUGGGUGAAGAAGGCCUUCGGGUUGUAAAGCCCUUUUGUUGGGAAAGAAAAGCAGCAGGUUAAUACCCCGCUGUUCUGACGGUACCCAAAGAAUAAGCACCGGCUAACUUCGUG